UCAUUUUGAAAUUCUCUAAAUUUAACUUAAACAAAAUACUUCAUAAAUUUCCAUCAUUUUGAAAAUUCUUCAAAUUUUCAUCCAAACAAUGAAAUUCACCUCAAAUCAUUUGAAUUCCCUCAAAACAUUACUUUCCUCAAAAAAUCCCCCCAUCCAAACACACUCUUAAGGUAUUAGGUUUAUGAGUCAUCUCAAGUAGUUAACCUUAACUUUUCCAACCAACGUGAGACUUAACUCACACUUGAUAGAUCUCAACAUCUCCUCUAGUGUUAGUCUUUCUGUGUCCACGAUCCAUCACCACUCACUUAUUGCUCCACCGAAUCGGGUUUUGGAAUCACUGUUGGGUUGUGGGAGGAGAGCCUCACUGAAUGAGAUCGACACAUUUAACAUUAAACCAAUAUACAAGUAACUUUAACACCACAUUUUCACUCAAAACCUUAAUUAGACCUUUGGUUUAUGGUCAUCUGUUUAACCUUAACUCCUUCAAUGUGAGAUUUAACUCACGUUGAUCUAUCUUAACAAUUAUAGACUGUAUUAUAUAGUCUAUGGAAAAUAGAAAUCAUAUAGUUGUAUGGAAAAUAGAAUUCUUAACUAAAAAAAUGACAUCUUUUUUAAAAUAAAAGGAUUUCUUUUAAGACUAUAAUAAUAAAUAAAUUGUUGGAAAGUAAAAAAAAAAACACUAUCUACUUAUUAUUGUUUAAAGUGUCCUUGUCUCAAUUUGCACAAAAACAAAAAAAGGCCAUAUAUUUUAAAUUUCAUAUCCAAAUAUGAAACUUCCUUCACUCUGCAUGAUUGCCAACCCAGGUUGUGCCUAGCUUCUACCAUGCUCCCAUUGUUCAUUGGUUGAAUUCAUCACCUAAAAUAUUGAAACAGGAAAAGAUACAUAGUUAGAUUAGAUAUGUUUAAUUUAAUUCUAAAGGGUAUCUAUACAAGUGAGGAUGAACUAUAUAUUUGAAGAGUAAAGAGCACCGCAAAUUAUUUGACAUAUUUUAAUGGGUAAAUAGUGUUAUACCCCCUGCAAAAUAGAUGAGUUUUGCGUUAUCCCCUGUAAAAUAUUUUUU
rnacentral:lncRNA from 1 species